rnacentral:RNase_P_RNA from 1 species
GGAGCAAGCCAGACCGCCGCUGGGGCGAUGCGCCGAAAGGCGGCCCUGGAGGAAGGUCCGGACUGCACAGGGCAGCGUAGCAGCCAACGGCUGUCCACCGCAAGGUGAGGAUCAGAGCAACAGAGACGAGUCGAAGCGGGGCCUCGCCCCGCUUCGGGUGAAACGGGCAAUCUCUACGCGCAGCAACACCGAAUAGGCCGGCAUCGAUGUGGCCCGCGGAGCCGGCGGGUAGGUGGCACCGAGCCGGGUGGGCGACCCCCGGCCCAGAUGAAUGGCGGUCACGACGCCGCGCCCGCAAGGGAGCGGCGCCGCACAGAAUCCGGCCUAUCGGCUUGCUUCACAC